UACGUAGGGGGCAAGCGUUGUCCGGAAUCAUUGGGCGUAAAGAGCGUGUAGGCGGCCCGAUAAGUCCGCUGUGAAAGUCCAGGGCUCAACCCUGGGAUGCCGGUGGAUACUGUCGGGCUCGAGUCCGGAAGAGGAGUGUGGAAUUCCUGGUGUAGCGGUGAAAUGCGCAGAUAUCAGGAGGAACACCAAUGGCGAAGGCAGCUCACUGGGACGGUAUUGACGCUGAGACGCGAAAGCGUGGGGAGCAAACAGG
rnacentral:rRNA from 1 species